rnacentral:misc_RNA from 1 species
AGGAUAUUAUACGGAAUAUAAGACCUUGCGGUCUUAUAGACAGGUGCGUUUGGAUCUUGUUUAGUUUUGAAGGAUCAUUCCUUCAAAGCGUGUUCUUUGAAAACUAGAUAACGAAAGUAGACAUUCACAUUCAAUUGUAAUGCAAGAUAUCACGUAGUGAUUCUUUUUAAC